rnacentral:lncRNA from 1 species
AUUUUUUCCCAUGGGAACUUCCAAUGUUCCCAUGGGAAAUUCUAAUAUUCCCAUGGGAAUUAUCAAAUUUCCCAUGGGAAAUGUACUUUUAAUCAGCUGCAGUGACAAGAGUGACAACAGUGACAAGUUGGGACAUAUGGCAUUUUUUCAGUUUUUCAAUAAUCUAUCACUGGGCAAAUUUUUUUUUUGAUAUCUUGUAAACCGACAAAGUCAGAUUUGCCGAUACCGGAAUGGCAAAUUUGUCCCGCAC